AUACGUAGGUGGCGAGCGUUGUCCGGAUUUACUGGGUGUAAAGGGCGUGUAGGCGGGUUGUCAAGUCAGAUGUGAAACCCCGGGGCUUAACUCCGGAACUGCAACUGAAACUGAUGAUCUUGAGUACUGUAGAGGAAGGUGGAAUUCCUAGUGUAGCGGUGAAAUGCGUAGAUAUUAGGAGGAACACCGGUGGCGAAGGCGGCUUUCUGGACAGAAACUGACGCUGAGGCGCGAAAGCGUGGGGAGCAAACAGGAUUAGAUACCCUGGUAGUCCACGCUGUAAACGAUGAAUACUAGGUGUAGGGAGUGUCAAAACUCUCUGUGCCGCAGCAAACGCAAUAAGUAUUCCACCUGGGGAGUACGACCGCAAGGUUGAAACUCAAAUGAAUUGACGGGG
rnacentral:rRNA from 1 species